rnacentral:rRNA from 1 species
UCGGGAAUAUUGCGCAAUGGAGGAAACUCUGACGCAGUGACGCCGCGUAUAGGAAGAAGGUUUUCGGAUUGUAAACUAUUGUCGAUAGGGAAGAUAAAAGACAGUACCUAUCAAGAAAGCUCCGGCUAACUACGUGCCAGCAGCCGCGGUAAUACGUAGGGAGCAAGCGUUAUCCGGAAUUAUUGGGUGUAAAGGGUGCGUAGACGGGAUAGCAAGUUAGUUGUGAAAUACCUCGGCUUAACUGGGGAACUGCAACUAAAACUAUUAUUCUUGAGUGCAGGAGAGGAAAGUGGAAUUCCUAGUGUAGCGGUGAAAUGCGUAGAUAUUAGGAAGAACAUCGGUGGCGAAGGCGACUUUCUGGACUGUAACUGACGUUGAGGCACGAAAGUGUGGGGAGCAAACAGGAUUAGAUACCCUGGUAGU